rnacentral:misc_RNA from 1 species
AAGUCGUAACAAGGUUUCCGUAGGUGAACCUGCGGAAGGAUCAUUAACACGUAUCCAACGUUAAACCCCCCGUGAACCUUCAGUGCGCUCGCACUUUCUUAGAAAAGGUAGCAAUCCCUGGUAAAUCAUUGCCGAACAGUUUUGAUUCAGGGACUUCUGCGUAGACUGUGCUUGAGCGUGAGGCAAGUGGCCUGGCAUUCCUCUGCUUGUUGGUGUCUGAAAGUGUCACCAGCUCUGUACGAAUGGCGCAGUCACGAUCGCUAGAGGCCGACACGGCCGGCAAUCCAAGUGGUUGUACUUCGGUACCCCUACAUCGGUACACCCCCGAUGAAAUGUCAAUUUCGCGAAUGGACUAAAAGCCUCGCACAAAACCGAACAACUGUUAACAAUGGAUAUCUUGGUUCUC